rnacentral:antisense_RNA from 1 species
CUUCACCGAGCCCAGCAGCAGCGGCCGCUCCGGAUCACGAUCCUGACCGUAGGUGGCCAACAGGGCCUGCGCCUC